rnacentral:rRNA from 1 species
GACGAACGCUGGCGGCAUGCCUAACACAUGCAAGUCGAACGAGAACUCCGGGUCUUGUGGCGCACGGCUGCGUAACGCGUGGGAACCUGCCCUUGGGUUCGGAAUACCUCCCCGAAAGGGGUGCUAAUACCGGAUAAUGUCUUCGGACCAAAGAUUUAUUGCAUUUGGAUGGGCCCGCGUUGGAUUAGCUUGUUGGUAGGGUAAAAGCCUACCAAGGCGACGAUGCAUAGCUGGUCUGAGAGGAUGAUCAGCAACACUUGGACUGAGACACGGCCCAGACUCCUACGGGAGGCAGCAGUGGGGAAUAUAGGACAAUGGGGGAAGGCCUGAUCCAGCAAUGCCGCGUGAGUGAUGAAGGCCGUAGGGUAGUAAAGCUCUUUUACCCGGGAUGAUAAUGACAGUACCGGGAGAAUAAGCUCCGGCUAACUCCGUG